AAAACUUUCAACAACGGAUCUCUUGGUUCCAGCAUCGAUGAAGAACGCAGCGAAAUGCGAUAAGUAAUGUGAAUUGCAGAAUUCAGUGAAUCAUCGAAUCUUUGAACGCACAUUGCGCCCCUCGGCAUUCCGGGGGAGCAUGCCUGUUCGAGCGUCAUU
rnacentral:rRNA from 1 species